CCUGGCCAUACUGUCCUUAGCUGUGGCCUUUGGGGAACACAUUUAACCUUUCCCGGCCUCAAUUUCCCCAUCUGUAACACGAGGGGAUUGGGCUAAAUGAUUGCUAAGGUCCCUUCCAGCUCCGACCUCCUCUGACCAAAUGAGAUAAUGUGUGAAAACACUUUGUGAACGCUAAAGCCGGACGAAUGCCAGGGAUUUUUAUUACGAUUCUAAUGAAUCCUCUUUUCUCCACAUGGAUCUCGGCUGUUUAGCGCCAGCAAGCAGGCUAAAGAGGGCCAAAAGCGAGAAAGCUUAGCGGAGAUGGAAAAGCUCUGUGGUGUGGACAGAAAAACCCCUGCAUCUCCAGAGACAUUCUCUCUCUGUGUCCCCCACCCCCACCCCAGGCCUGGUGGGAAGGGGUGGGGAAGAGGAGGCGGCCGUGCUAGGUAUGAUAUGGAGUCAGUUUGUCUCCAAGUGACUGACAGAGGAACCUGAUGUGAAGGCGAUUUGCAAUUGUUUUUUCCAGGAAGAAAGGAAAGAGCAAGGUGUAGCUGAUUAGCAAGUUAAUUAUUUCAGUACCCCAAGGGUUCCAGUGUGGUGGAGACAGUCCGUGGCACCGGGCUCUGGAGAGACGACUUCCUGACUUCAGCGGUGUGAAGAUGGUACAAUACUUUUUGGUGCUGACAUUCAGCUGUCCCCCAGGCAGGCCAUUCAUAAUCUAGCCAACAUUGUAGGCCAUUGGCCCACACACAUUUUGAAAGGUGAGCCAGCAGGCCUGUUCCUGUGUGCAAGGUCGUUUUCAUCCGGGCUCAAGGGAGGAUAUAGUUUCCCCUUAAAGGAGAGAAGCAGGAAACGAUUUCUAUGAAUCUUUUAACGAAGGAUUUACUACUAAUUUGAUAAGUUCAAUGCUCUUUUUACUCAUUCUGAGUGAAUAACGUUGUCAGUCAACCCAAGCGGCUGCCGAACCUAUAAAAAUGUGUCCUUUGGUCUCCCUGUUUAACACAUGCAGGGGCUUGGCCCUGCCUCUGACAGACGGGAGGAGUAGAAACAUUCCAGAGAUCAGGUCUCAGAGUGUUAUCUCUUCCUCCAUCCCAAAUCCUCACCCUCCAUUUUAUCUUUCUUUGCUACAAAUGCAGAGACCUCCUAGGGAAGUGUGAAAGGAUGGGUUUUAAUCAGGUUUAGAGAAGGAAGGGGAAUAAGUUGAACCCAAAGAAAGAUGGGGACAGUUGGAAUUUUUUGAUGAUGCUUUGUUAUACCUCUCAUGUGUUGUAUAUUAUAUCCUACAAAUUAUGCAUUUAUUGCAAGAAUCUACAGUGUAUAUGCGGCAUUUGCCAAAUGCUGCUUGGCCAAAACAGUGUUAAAUAAAAUUGUAAGAAAUGCG
rnacentral:lncRNA from 1 species